CAUUAAUUUAAGUGGAGUUAUUUGGCUCUCUAUUUUCUAUACUUCAUAAUGUAUUUCUAACCUUUAAAGUGACAUAGGCAAGCACCAGAUUGCAGGAGCACUUAUUAACAGCCUAUUAAAAUAUUUUAUGGCCUUUAUUUUUACGUUGCCAUAGGGAAUCAAGUAUUUUGCUGUUGUUGAACUGGCUCAGGAUUUAUGUGGCAACAGCUUCACCACAGCCUAACGCAGAACAGCGCUAGGAAAUGAACUGGGAGAACAAACUCCCAUUCAGCUCCUCAUGUGCCAUAAAGAUGUCAAAUGCAGAUCACAGCAAGGGGCCCUCCAAUCCAGCUCUUUGGUUUUGUUUGUUAUUUAAAUAUAAGCUGACAAGAGAAGAUCCAGUGCACUGGAGCCAUGCUGAGAGCCACCAAAGGCAACAUGCUUGUAGAGAAACUUAUCUAGAGCUGCUGUACCACAUCCACAUUUAGCAACAGCGUUACCACAGAAUUAGGAAGACCGUGAUCUUACCUAGAAGACUGUGAUCCCACCUAAAGGAAUUCUGGAGAUGACUGUAUGAAACGAAUGAAAGACUACCAUGCUGAGAUUGGUCCCGGACAUCCAGGAGGGACUGCUUCUCCAAUUUCAUCUUACAGCUGAACGAUGGCAGGAGAAACAGUGACACACCACAGAGCAGCCUGCCCCCAACCCAGGCAAGGACAAAUACGGCAGACGAACACUGCAGGUCCCACAGCUCACAAAAUCACAGGCUCACUCAGCUGUGCCUGCAUGCUUGCGAGGUUGAGCCUAAGAAACAAAAACUUCACCCUGAAGACCAGUGACAAGGCAUGCCAGAGGCACUGAAAGUUUUGAUUUCUGGGGAAGUUUUCAAAGAGGGACUGACCUACUUUACAUUGAAGGGACAUCUGCAAUUGCUGCACAACGUUAACAACAAUAACCUCACUGAGAACCAUCUUGCAACGGUACCAUUCAGUCAUUCCUAACAAGCUCGCCUCUUCUCCAGCUCCUGCCACAGAAGAGAAGGGAUACCAGCUUCCAGUGGUGUCACACAAUGCUGUGCUUUCUUGGGCGUGCAGUAAAGCACUGACACCAACAAUUUUCCCCUGAAGUACAUUAGAUUGUUUUAUUAAUUAGUAGCCUCCCCAUCUUAUCACACAGUGCACCUGAAAUCCCACUUGUAUUUCUGAAUCAAGUAAUUAAAGGCAGAGGUACUUGAAUAAACAAGCAGUGACAGAGACUAAUAUUCCAUCAAUAUAAUGAGGCAGCUUACGAGACAGUGAGAUGCCCUGGCUCAGACAUUAUCUAAGUCCAAGGGCAAAGCACGCCUUGGAUGGCGAGUGUGUCCUCUGCUACAGGCACCCCCAGGUAAACCCCAGUAACUUGGCUGAAACUAAUCAGAUUCCGGGGAGAAUUUAGGUCAUUAAAUCUGUCAGUGGCCAAAAUAAACAGAAAAGAAGAAAGGCUGCCGCACUCAGAGCAUGGAGAAAUAGCAAUGAUCAACAGUUUCAACACCUUCCCUGUAGAGAUGGCAAUAAUUACCUGGUAAUUAUCGGGUGCAAUUUCCUCUUAUGUAAAGGGACUAGGUUACCUGCUUCAAGGAUAGCAAAUGUAACUUUGCUUCCUUCAUGCAAAAUUGAAUGGAAAAUGCCACCACAGGCACUGACUGAACACUAACACGAGCUGAAUCGCUUUAAAGACAGUCUUUCAACAACAGCCACUUGUUGGUAUCCAUUAGAAACCGCUCCACAGUGCUGUAAUCCAGUACCUUAUUAUCACUGCUGUCAGCAGAGUUGGUUCCCUUGCAUGCCAUCAUAGAGGAACAGGGGCAUAAACAACACAGGAAGAAAGAAGCAGAGAGAAAUAAAAA